rnacentral:rRNA from 1 species
UCCUGGCUCAGGAUGAACGCCGGCGGUGUGCCUAAUACAUGCAAGUCGUACGCACUGGCCCAACUGAUUGAUGGUGCUUGCACCUGAUUGACGAUGGAUCACCAGUGAGUGGCGGACGGGUGAGUAACACGUAGGUAACCUGCCCUGGAGCGGGGGAUAACAUUUGGAAACAGAUGCUAAUACCGCAUAACAACAAAAGCCACAUGGCUUUUGUUUGAAAGAUGGCUUUGG